GGCCUGAUGGUCUAGUAGUAUGAUUCCUUGUUAGGGCUUCCCCCCAGAAACCAAUCGAGGAGGUCCUGGGUUCAAUUCCCAGUCAGGCCC